UACGUAGGCAGCAAGCGUUGUUCGGAAUUACUGGGCGUAAAGAGUGUGUAGGCGGUGCUCUAAGUCUGUUGUGAAAUCUCCCGGCUUAACUGGGAGGGUGCGGCGGAGACUGGAGUGCUAGAGUGUGGGAGAGGUAAGCGGAAUUCCUGGUGUAGCGGUGAAAUGCGUAGAUAUCAGGAGGAACACCGGUGGCGAAGGCGGGUCUCUGGGCCGAUACUGACGCUGAGGAGCGAAAGCGUGGGGAGCGAACAGG
rnacentral:rRNA from 1 species